AAUCAACACACCCCUUUUCAGCUACAGACCUGGAUACUUCCUUCUCCCUGUCAGUGCAGUCCAGGAUCACUUCCACCCUGGGCUCAAGGUUUCAUUUAUUCCACUGGAGGAUCUGCAUGUACACAAAACAUUAAUUCAAAAAAUUUUGUUUCAGGUCUGCCCACCUCUGAAGGACUGUUAGGAGCUCUGGUUGCCCAGAUUUGGCUGGCGUAAUGGCAGAGCUGUGUGGGAUCAGCACUGCAGACUUUGGCCUAGAGUGGUGCUCAUGCCAUGAAAGGUUGAUGUCUCAUCAUCUGGAUGCAUUAAGAUAAAGCCAAUAAAUUUUGCUGUUGAGUGUUGACUACAGUGGGAUCAGGCUGUUAAAAUAGUUGUCAGCAGCAGUGACCAUGAGUGGCAGUGUCUACGGCUAUUUGUACAGUUGUAAAAGAAUGCAGAAAGUCAUCCAUGAGAUCAUUUCUGAAAGUUUGCUUCUACCCUGAGUGGGAGAUUCCUUUAAUGCUACAGCAGGAUGCUCAAUUUGUGUUUUAUUGAGCUGACUAAUUAACUCAACCAGCUUGAAUGAAUAGGUCACUGGAAUGCUGACAGCUGAGGACCAUGGCUUACCUGCUGUGGUGUAGUUCUUGUUUCUGGAUAAGUAAAUAUAUCAUGAGUGGCCCCCCAUGUGAUAGCUGCAUUCUUAUUCUUUUACUUCAUGAUGUGAAUGGUAGAAGCAAACUUUCAGAAAUGAUCUCAUGGAUGGCAUACAGAGUAUGGGGAGCCCACAGAUGACUUUUGGCGUACCAAUGCAGAAUGCCGCUCAGAGCCAGAGGGGAGAACAUGACGGAACAGGGACAUUUCAGCCUUUCUGUGGGUGCUGCUCUGUCAGCAAGUACAGAGGAGGCAUGAAAAGAGCCUUAUCUUUGUCUUUUCAGACCCCUUGUAGGAGAGGUAAUAUUGAUGGCAGCAUUAGUUCAGUGCAAAGGUUAUAUCCUCUGCUCGAACUGAGGCUGGUCCCUUCACGGAGGGGCAAGGUUCUCUGGGUAAUGGGUAUACUCCUCCCUUUCUUAUUUCCACAGACUUUAUGUUGUAUAUCAGGGAGACAGUGGGAGCAUCUACACCAUCAUUAAUGCAGCAUAGUUACUGCACAUUAAGUUUAGUACUUGGUUAACCAGGUACUAAAUCAAUGUGCAGUAACUUGUGCUACUGUGCAAUAGCGCUGUCACAUGGGUUUUUAGUGACACUUAAUGCACAGUAGCUUAAUACUACUGCACAGUAUCAUAUAGCACAGGUUUUGCAUGGCAUGCUACUGCACAAUGUUAUUAGGUUGCUGUGCAGUUAGCAUCUUGAGUAGACAUGCCCAGCAAGACUUAAAGUAGCCCAAGUUGGAGAUCUACUCUUUCUGAAACUGCUUCAUUUGCAGCAAAGGUAGAUUUAGGAAAAUUCUUCCAGUUUUGUCCUAUCUUUAUUAUAAAUGAUACUGAAAUAUGUGUGUGUACACUGCACAUGGAACACAAUUACAAAACCUUCACAAAAUGACUUAAUAUUCUGACAAUAGAGGUGUGUUAGUCUGAAGUCAGGCAGAAAUGUGGGGCAGGGUGGGGCACCUUAGAGGGGCACCUGGUUAGGCUAGCCUAUAUUCUGCUAUUCUGAUAACAGCAAAUACUUUUAUACAGGCCUUUUCUCUGACAAAAUCAAAUGUUUUUUCAAAGAAAAAUAAAG